rnacentral:lncRNA from 1 species
AUAAACAUUUAAGACAUGAGACACGCUAAUUCCAUCUCUUAAAAUGUGUCUAUAGGUGAGACGCUUUGCCUUGAUUGGAGGGACCACACUGGAGGUGCGAGUCCGCCGUGUAAUGGCUUAUGCCAUCACAAACGAGCUGGCCUCAGUACUAAACUGGGCAGGGAAAAAACAAAGGACCAGACGAAGCAAAAAAGGGCAUUUAAAGAGACAGCGCUGUGCAGAUGCAUAUUUGAUGGCCUGGCGCAGCAGGUAGGGGCGAACUCUAUGUCUGAGUUGGUCUUUGCUCAAGCAGUCCAGAAAUGGCUCAGAUAUGCUCCAGAUCGUACAGGUGGCGCGCAAGACGCACAUCAUCCAUCCCCAUCCCGGAGUAAAUAAUAAAAAGUGACGUGAAACAUAGAAAUGUAAAUAGGAAACUUUGUCUUUUAAUAAAGUAUUUUGCAAAUGAUACAUGUCUAUUGACCUUUUUUGUUUUUUUGUUUUUUUUCAAUAAAAAGCAACUGUACGAAAGAGGUGGAAAAUCAAUACCAUAGCUCAACAGUGUUUCAAUAUCAGAAUCUGACAUUGUUUCAAUGUCAACAGUGUUAGAAAAUAUAACGUAGAAUCAAUGUCAGGUUUCAACAUUGAUUCAACAUCAAAACCUGACGUUGUUUCAACGUUAAAAAUGGGUGCAAGAGUGAUGUUGGGUCAACGUCACACUUCAACGUUGCUUCAAUGACGUCGCCUGAUAUUGACUCAACAUUGUUUCAAUGUUUCCUUGCUAUCUGGGAAAUAAUGGCCCUGUUAUGAUGUCACAGGUGAGGCCGGAGACAGAUAUCUGCUCAGAGUGAACAGAGCCAGGUCAAUAAAGACAAACUGGCAGUAAAUGUUAGGACUGUCUUCCCACCAACCAGGUCUCCCAGUUUGUACUCACUGACUGGUGUGAAGAUCCUCAGCUGUUUGUGGCGUCGCUGGCGUGGUAGCUAAUGUUGACCGUUUCCUUUCAAAAAGGACAAAGUCUGAGCAGCUCUCCUUCGGCUCAUCCCCUCACACUCACUCUCUUUCUCACAUACACAUAAACAGAUGGGAGUGUGUGACAUACCGAAGUCCACAUUAAUUAUUGACGUGCUUUUAUGGCUCAAUAAUGCACAGUUGGGUCCAUAUUUAUUUUGAAACUGUGAGGUUUAGUUUUUUUUUACCUGCUUACUGAAACACAUUUCAAUUAUAGUUAUAUAAUG